CGGGUUUAUGGGGGGCAGCCUGAUCAGCAUGCCGCGUGUGUGAAGAAGGCCUUCGGGUUGUAAAGCACUUUUAUCGGGAACGAAACGUGGGGGGUGAAUAGCCUCGUAGACUGACGGUACCCGAGGAAUAAGCACCGGCUAACUUCGUGCCAGCAGCCGCGGUAAUACGAAGGGUGCAAGCGUUACUCGGAAUUACUGGGCGUAAAGGGUGCGUAGGUGGUUUUUUAAGUCUGCUGUGAAAUCCCCGGGCUCAACCUGGGAAUGGCAGUGGAUACUGGAAAGCUGGAGUGCGGUAGAGGGUAGUGGAAUUUCCGGUGUAGCGGUGAAAUGCGUAGAGAUCGGAAGAACCACCAGUGG
rnacentral:rRNA from 1 species